rnacentral:rRNA from 1 species
GACGAACGCUGGCGGCGUGCUUAACACAUGCAAGUCGAACGGAAAGGCCCUGCUUUUGUGGGGUGCUCGAGUGGCGAACGGGUGAGUAACACGUGAGUAACCUGCCCUUGACUUUGGGAUAACUUCAGGAAACUGGGGCUAAUACCGGAUAGGAGCUCCUGCUGCAUGGUGGGGGUUGGAAAGUUUCGGCGGUUGGGGAUGGACUCGCGGCUUAUCAGCCUGUUGGUGGGGUAGUGGCUUACCAAGGCUUUGACGGGUAGCCGGCCUGAGAGGGUAACCGGCCACAUUGGGACUGAGAUACGGACCAGACUCCUACGGGAGGCAGCAGUGGGGAAUAUUGCACAAUGGGCGGAAGCCUGAUGCAGCAACGCCGCGUGCGGGAUGACGGCCUUCGGGUUGUAAACCGCUUUCGCCUGUGACGAAGCGUGAGUGACGGUAAUGGGUAAAGAAGCACCGGCUAACUACGUG